AUUGAACGCUGGCGGCAGGCCUAACACAUGCAAGUCGAGCGGGGUUUUCGGACCUAGCGGCGGACGGGUGAGUAAUGCGUAGGAAGCUACCCGAUAGAGGGGGAUACCAGUUGGAAACGACUGUUAAUACCGCAUAAUGUCUACGGACCAAAGUGUGGGACCUUCGGGCCACAUGCUAUCGGAUGCGCCUACGUGGGAUUAGCUAGUUGGUGAGGUAAUGGCUCACCAAGGCGACGAUCCCUAGCGGGUUUGAGAGGAUGAUCAGCCACACUGGAACUGAGACACGGUCCAGACUCCUACGGGAGGCCGCAGUGGGGAAUAUUGGACAAUGGGCGCAAGCCUGAUCCAGCCAUGCCGCGUGUGUGAAGAAGGCCUUCGGGUUGUAAAGCACUUUCAGUAGGGAGGAAGGGUUAAGUGUUAAUAGUACUUAACUUUGACGUUACCUACAGAAGAAGCACCGGCUAACUCUGUGCCAGCCGCCGCUGUAAGAC
rnacentral:rRNA from 1 species